GGGUCAUUAGUAUAGAGGUAGUAUGCCUGCUUCGGGUUUGCAGGUGACCCCGGUUCGAACCCGGGAUGACCCC
rnacentral:tRNA from 1 species